AUUGAACGCUGGCGGCAGGCUUAACACAUGCAAGUCGAGCGGGGGAAGGUAGCUUGCUACCGGACCUAGCGGCGGACGGGUGAGUAAUGCUUAGGAAUCUGCCUAUUAGUGGGGGACAACAUCUCGAAAGGGAUGCUAAUACCGCAUACGUCCUACGGGAGAAAGCAGGGGAUCUUCGGACCUUGCGCUAAUAGAUGAGCCUAGGUCGGAUUUGCUAGUUGGUGGGGUAAAGGCCUACCAAGGCGACGAUCUGUAGCGGGUCUGAGAGGAGGAUCCGCCACACUGGGACUGAGACACGGCCCAGACUCCUAUGGGAGGCAGCAGUGGGGAAUAUUGGACAAUGGGGGGAACCCUGAUCCAGCCAUGCCGCGUGUGUGAAGAAGGCCUUAUGGUUGUAAAGCACUUUAAGCGAGGAGGAGGCUACUCUAGUUAAUACCUAGGGAUAGUGGACGUUACUCGCAGAAUAAGCACCGGCUAACUCUGUGCCAGCCGCCGCCGUAA
rnacentral:rRNA from 1 species